rnacentral:tRNA from 1 species
UACUCUAUAGUUCAGAUGGGAGAGCGUUAGACUGAAGAUCUAAAGGUCACUAGUUCGAUACUGGUUCGCGGAA